UACGUAGGGUGCAAGCGUUAAUCGGAAUUACUGGGCGUAAAGCGUGCGCAGGCGGUUAUGUAAGACCGAUGUGAAAUGCCCGGGCUUAACCUGGGAAUGGCAUUGGUGACUGCACGGCUAGAGUGUGUCAGAGGGGGGUAGAAUUCCACGUGUAGCAGUGAAAUGCGUAGAGAUGUGGAGGAAUACCGAUGGCGAAGGCAGCCCCCUGGGAUAACACUGACGCUCAUGCACGAAAGCGUGGGGAGCAAACAGG
rnacentral:rRNA from 1 species